rnacentral:lncRNA from 1 species
CCCCGAUUUGGACCAACUUGAAAACUGGGCCAAUAAUCAAAAAUCUAAGUACAUUUUUAGAUUCAGCAUAUCAAAGAACCCUAAGGAUUCAAUUUUUGUUAAAAAUAUCAAACUAAGUUUAAUUUUGGACCCUUUGGACCUUAAUGUAGACCAAUUUGAAAACGGGACCAAAAAUUAAGAAUCUACAUACACAGUUAGAUUCGGCAUAUCAAAGAACCCCAA